GUAGGGAAUAUUGGGCAAUGGUCGGAAGACUGACCCAGCCAUGCCGCGUGCAGGAAGACGGCCCUCUGGGUUGUAAACUGCUUUUAUCUGGGAAGAAAAAGGCCAUGCGUGGCAAAUUGCCGGUACCAGAUGAAUAAGCACCGGCUAACUCCGUGCCAGCAGCCGCGGUAAUACGGAGGGUGCGAGCGUUGUCCGGAUUUAUUGGGUUUAAAGGGUGCGUAGGCGGCUGAUUAAGUCAGCGGUGAAAGACUUCGGCAUAACCGGAGCAGUGCCGUUGAUUCUGGUUGGCUUGAGUGUCGGAGGGGUACAUGGAAUUGAUGGGGUAGCGGUGAAAUGCAUAGAUACCAUCAGGAACACCGAUAGCGAAGGCAUUGUACUGGCCGACAACUGACGCUGAUGCACGAAAGUGUGGGGAUCGAACAGGAUUAGAUACCCCAGUAGUCC
rnacentral:rRNA from 1 species